rnacentral:rRNA from 1 species
AGAACGAACGCUGGCGGCAGGCCUAACACAUGCAAGUCGAACGCGUGUAGCAAUACACGAGUGGCGCACGGGUGAGUAACACGUGGGAACCUACCUAGAGGUGCGGAAUAACUGCGGGAAACUGCAGCUAAUACCGCUAUUACCCUAAGGGGGAAAGAUUUAUCGCCUUUAGACGGGCCCGCGUCUGAUUAGCUAGUUGGUGAGGUAACGGCUCACCAAGGCAACGAUCAGUAGCUGGUCUGAGAGGACGACCAGCCACACUGGAACUGAGACACGGUCCAGACUCCUGCGGGAGGCAGCAGUGGGGAAUAUUGGGCAAUGGAGGAAACUCUGACCCAGCCAUGCCGCGUGGGUGAUUGAAGGUCUUCGGAUUGUAAAGCCCUUUCAGCGGGGACGAUGAUGACGGUACCCGCAGAAGAAGCCCCGGCUAACUUCGUGCCAGCAGCCGCGGUAAUACGAAGGGGGCUAGCGUUGUUCGGAUUUACUGGGCGUAAAGGGCGCGUAGGCGGCCCGUUUAGUCAGGCGUGAAAUGCCCGAGCUCAACUCGGGAAAUGCGCUUGAUACUGGCGGGCUUGAAUCCGGGAGAGGAUGGUGGAACUCCCAGUGUAGAGGUGAAAUUCGUAGAUAUUGGGAAGAACACCCGUGGCGAAGGCGGCCAUCUGGACCGGUAUUGACGCUAAAGCGCGACAGCGUGGGGAGCAAACAGGAUUAGAUACCCUGGUAGUCCACGCCGUAAACGAUGAGUGCUAGACGUUGGGGGGCCUAGCUUCCCAGUGUCGCAGCUAACGCAUUAAGCACUC